AUUGAACGCUGGCGGCAGGCUUAACACAUGCAAGUCGAGCGGAGAUGAGGUGCUUGCACCUUAUCUUAGCGGCAGACGGGUGAGUAAUGCUUAGGAAUCUGCCUAUUAGUGGGGGACAACAUUCCGAAAGGAAUGCUAAUACCGCAUACGUCCUACGGGAGAAAGCAGGGGGUCUUCGGACCUUGCGCUAAUAGAUGAGUCUAAGUCGGAUUAGCUAGUUGGUAGGGUAAAGGCCUACCAAGGCGACGAUCUGUAGCGGGUCUGAGAGGAUGAUCCGCCACACUGGGACUGAGACACGGCCCAGACUCCUACGGGAGGCAGCAGUGGGGAAUAUUGGACAAUGGGGGAAACCCUGAUCCAGCCAUGCCGCGUGUGUGAAGAAGGCCUUAUGGUUGUAAAGCACUUUAAGCGAGGAGGAGGCUACUGAGACUAAUACUCUUGGAUAGUGGACGUUACUCGCAGAAUAAGCACCGGCUAACUCUGUGCCAGCCGCCGCCGUAA
rnacentral:rRNA from 1 species